AUGUGGCACGUGCUCACUGAGAAAAGGCACACAGGACCAGAAGAAAGACAAGGAGUUACGACACAGCCCGAGGGAGUCAGGAAAAUCAGCAGAGCAGAUGGUUUUCAAGGCCCGAAGAUUCUUUUAUUUGUCAGAAGCAGCACUCACCUGUGCCUCUCCCUGAUCAGGCCCAAACAAAUCAGCUGCCCUCACCUGAAAGGGUGUUAGUCUCUCAAUCAUGUCCCUGUGACCCCAUGGACUGUAGCACACCAGGCUCCUUUGUCCAUGGGAUUUUCCAGGUAAGAAUACUGGAGUGGGUUGUCAUUUCCUUCUCCAGGGGAUCUUCUCGACUCAGAGAUGGAACCCAGGUCUCCUACAUUACAGGUGUAUUCUUUACCAUCUGAGCCACCAGGGACAUGCAUAAGAAACUGUUACCUCUCAAAACUGGGGUCAGAAGGUUGGGUGUGUGGUUCAGGCUCUACAAGGCAUUUCACAUUCUCCUAGUAUCUCCUCUUGUCUCCCUAUGAAGCUCUUACAUCUCAGGACACCUCUAACCAAUACCCUCUUUUGAUGGGAGCUAGUGCUCAGCGGUUAAUAUUUUCAGCCCAGAGAGACACAGCCUGUGCUUUAGACCAUGGCAAACCCUCCCAGCUAGCCCCAGUCCAUCCAAAUCUCUCCUGUUCCUCAGAUCCCAUGGCCAAGACAGUCCCUGAGUCUGUUCAGUGGACAAGCUCCCACAGUGUCCAGUGCUGAGGCUCCUCCCACCCCCGUGCCCCCUCGGCCCUGCACAAUGAGCCCGCACUCCUGGGAAUACAGGGUCCCCUGUGCGCUUCUUCCGGGGCUGCUG
rnacentral:lncRNA from 1 species